rnacentral:rRNA from 1 species
UACGUAGGGGGCAAGCGUUGUCCGGAUUUAUUGGGCGUAAAGAGCGUGUAGGCGGCCAGGUAGGUCUGCUGUGAAAACUCGAGGCUCAACCUCGAGACGUCGGCGGAAACCCUCUGGCUAGAGUCCGGAAGAGGAGAGUGGAAUUCCUGGUGUAGCGGUGAAAUGCGCAGAUAUCAGGAAGAACACCCGUGGCGAAGGCGGCUCUCUGGGGACGGUACUGACGCUGAGACGCGAAAAGC